rnacentral:rRNA from 1 species
AUUGAACGCUGGCGGCAGGCCUAACACAUGCAAGUCGAGCGGAUGAAGGGAGCUUGCUCCUGGAUUCAGCGGCGGACGGGUGAGUAAUGCCUAGGAAUCUGCCUGGUAGUGGGGGAUAACGUCCGGAAACGGGCGCUAAUACCGCAUACGUCCUGAGGGAGAUAGUGGGGGAUCUUCGGACCUCACGCUAUCAGAUGAGCCUAGGUCGGAUUAGCUAGUUGGUGGGGUAAAGGCCUACCAAGGCGACGAUCCGUAACUGGUCUGAGAGGAUGAUCAGUCACACUGGAACUGAGACACGGUCCAGACUCCUACGGGAGGCAGCAGUGGGGAAUAUUGGACAAUGGGCGAAAGCCUGAUCCAGCCAUGCCGCGUGUGUGAAGAAGGUCUUCGGAUUGUAAAGCACUUUAAGUUGGGGGGAAGGGCAGUAAGUUAAUACCUUGCUGUUUUGACGUUACCAACAGAAUAAGCACCGGCUAACUUCGUG